ACUCCUACGGGAGGCAGCAGUGGGGAAUCUUGGACAAUGGGGGCGAACCCUGAUCCAGCCAUGCCGCGUGAGUGAUGAAGGCCUUAGGGUCGUAAAGCUCUUUCGCCUGUGAAGAUAAUGACGGUAGCAGGUAAAGAAACCCCGGCUAACUCCGUGCCAGCAGCCGCGGUAAUACGGGAGGGGUUAGCGUUGUUCGGAAUUACUGGGCGUAAAGCGCACGUAGGCGGAUCGGAAAGUUGGGGUGAAAUCCCGGGGCUCAACCCCGGAACUGCCUCCAAAACUAUCGGUCUAGAGUUCGAGAGAGGUGAGUGGAAUUCCGAGUGUAGAGGUGAAAUUCGUAGAUAUUCGGAGGAACACCAGUGGCGAAGGCGGCUCACUGGCUCGAUACUGACGCUGAGGUGCGAAAGUGUGGGAGCAAACAGGAUUAGAUACCCUGGUAGCGACUGA
rnacentral:rRNA from 1 species